rnacentral:misc_RNA from 1 species
AAGCGUUGAUAAACUUAUACAACUUUCAACAACGGAUCUCUUGGCUCUCGCAUCGAUGAAGAACGCAGCGAAAUGCGAUAAGUAAUGUGAAUUGCAGAUUUUCAGUGAAUCAUCGAAUCUUUGAACGCACCUUGCGCUCCUUGGUAUUCCGAGGAGCAUGCCUGUUUGAGUGUCAUUAAAUUCUCAACUCCAAGGGUUUCACGACCUUUCGGAGAUUGGACUUGGAGGUGCUGGCCGCAUAUUGGUCGGCUCCUCUCAAAUGCAUCAGCGGAAUUCAACCUUUGGCUUCCGGAUGUCAGUGUGAUAAUCAUGUUGCGCUGUCGUUUGAUCCCUCAGAGUCCGCUUAUAAUGGUCUUCGGACAAAAUCAUCAUCAAAUUUGACCUCAAAUCAGGUAGGACUACCCGCUGAACUUAAGCAU